GAGUACGUCUUUUGAGAGGUGCAUGAAGGGAUAUACAAAAGUCAUCUGGGUGGUAAAUCACUAUACUUCUGUUAAGGAGAAUGCCUUAAGAUUUAGUCCAUAAUAAGCCAAGAAUGAGGUCUAGAAUGAUGAAUGAAAUCUAAUAAGCCCAAGAAUAGCCCAAAUGGAGUUCAGACAGAGGAGAUACACAUGAAAAAGUAGAUCGAAAGCAGUUAGUACAACCCAUGGGCUACCAAAGGGACCCAC
rnacentral:lncRNA from 1 species